AACCAAUCCAUUUUUUCUUUCCGUCUUCAUCAUUACCCGAAAAUACAAAUUACGGAUCAAAAGACUGAAGACUUAUAUUCCUUCGUCUCUUACACACAAAAUUCACAAAAGAAAACAAGAAAAAACUCCAAUGGAUUAUUCUUCUUCGUUAUCUUCUCUGAGCUUUCAUUUCAAUAGCUUCAGAGCUUCAGCGAACUCGUUCCUCUCACAAUACGAACCUCUUCUUCUGCUUCUCGCUCCUCUCUUCUCUCUCAUCCUCGCACACUUGCUUCGCUCAUUUUUCAAUCUCAUCCAUGAAAGAGGCCUCAAAGCUUCGCUCCUAGGGUUUCUUAUGAGCUCUGUCAAAUUGAUCCCUGGAGUGAAGAGUUACAUUGAUAGAGAAAAGCAGAAGGUUGUGGAUAAAAUGCAGUCUGAUGGUAAAUCUAAAAGAGAAGGUUGGAGAACAGAGUUGCCAAGCACAGGACUAGGCACUUUAGUACUUGAGAAAAUGAAAGAGGAGAAAAGAAAAGAUGUGGCUUGGCAAGGCAAAUGCUCUGGUACAGUCUACAUUGGUGGAAGUGAAAUUGAUGGACAUUUUUCUCUGAUAAAUGAAGCAUGCUCAAUGUUUGCACAUACCAAUCCCUUGCAUUUGGAUGUAUUCCAGAGUGUUGGACGCUUUGAGGCAGAAGUGGUUGCAAUGACUGCAGCACUUCUUGGAAGUCAGGAAAAAAGUUCUGGAGGACAAGUAUGUGGCAAUAUGACAUCAGGAGGGACUGAAAGUAUAUUAUUAGCGGUCAAAUCAUCUCGUGAUUAUAUGAAAUCUAAGAAAGGAAUUACAAGACCUGAAAUGAUAAUUCCUGUGUCUGCACACUCAGCAUAUGACAAGGCUGCACAGUAUUUCAAUAUCAAACUAUGGCGUGUUCCAGUUAACAAAGACUUCCAAGCGGAUGUAAAAGCAAUUCGACGCCAUAUUAACAAAAAUACCAUCUUGAUUGUUGGAUCCGCUCCAGGGUUUCCUCAUGGAAUAAUUGACCCUAUUGAAGAACUUGGUCAGUUGGCAUCAAGCUUUGGUAUUUGUCUCCAUGUAGACCUUUGCCUGGGUGGCUUUGUAUUGCCUUUUGCCCGUGAGCUUGGGUACCCUAUACCACCUUUUGAUUUUUCUGUUAAAGGAGUAUCUUCAAUAUCAGUGGACGUGCAUAAAUAUGGUUUAGCUCCCAAAGGAACAAGUAUAGUCCUGUAUAGAGACCAUGAAAUCAGAAAGCAUCAAUUUGUUGCGGUUACCGAGUGGAGUGGUGGGUUGUAUGUGUCUCCAACCAUAGCUGGAAGCAGGCCUGGGGGUCUAAUUGCAGGGGCAUGGGCAGCAAUGAUAUCUACAGGUUACUUGGAAAACACGAAAACAAUUAUGGAAGCAACAAAAAGAAUACAGAAAGGCAUAGAAGAAAUUUCUGAGUUGUAUGUUGUUGGAAGACCCGACAUGACCAUUGUGGCUUUUGGAUCUAAUGUCCUGGACAUAUUUGAAGUCAAUGAUUUGAUGACAUCCAAAGGGUGGCAUUUGAAUGCUUUGCAGAGACCCAACAGGAACUGAAGAUAUUUACUCUUUUGCAUUCUGGUUUUCCGUCAGCAUCCAUAUCUGCGUGACACUGCAGCAUGUGCCAGUUGUUGAAGACUUCCUCACUGAUUUGAAGGAAUCCGUUGAAACUGUGAAGGAAAAUCCUGGUCCUAUAAGUGGAGGCCUAGCACCGAUAUAUGGUGCCGCAGGGAAGAUGCCAGAUAGAGGCAUGGUCCAGGACUUGCUGGUGGAUUAUAUGGACGGUACCUGCUAGUGGCUCUCAUCAAAUACUAAGACAUCCUUUACCAGAUUUUUCUGACAUGUACUGUAAUUGAUACUUCUCAAAUGAUAUUCGAUUAUACUCUGCAUUCUUUCAUGCUUUGGGGACUCGGAUGGUAAACAAUAAAGCCAAUGUCUGUUUAUUGUUUUGGGUUCCAUCUAUUAUCUACUUAGUGUGUAUUAAUAGGUGCUCUAAAGUACUUGUUAAUCCUUUUUUUUAUA